AAAAAUAAUUAUUAAAGGAAUGUGCAGGUAGAUGGUAUGAAAAGACGAAGACCUAAUUCCCUGGGUGACCAGGGUUGUGAAGCACAGCAGUCUUCAUUGUUCCAUUGAGUCAGACUACAUUUCAGUAGUUACAAAAGCACUGCUGUCCAAUUUCUUUUUCCUUCUGCACUGUAUUUCUCCCUGAUGAAUCACGACUGAAACCAACAUUUUGCCAGGGAUAUACAGGAAAUCAUCGCCAUUGAAAACUGUGGUUUUACAUUUUAAAACCUGAUUUAUAAACUUUUAUGUCUUUCUCAAGUUUCUUAGCAAUAUCUCCACUGAGAUCUGAAUAUAAACUAGUGCCAUUUUUUCUGGCUACAGAACGAGAAGCAAAGGAAACUCUCCUCCUUGGAUCAACGGUCCCUGCUGAGGAGUCCAUCCAUUCAAUUGGCUUGAUCAAUGAGCCAUUACAGAGGAAAAAGACUUGGAUAUCCCUGCAUUCUGAACAAGCAACACAGAAAGAAUGCACUAAGAGAAAAAUGUUGCUGCACAGAUAUUCAGAAUAAUGAAGUAUGUGAUGGUUGUAUUGCCAUGGAACAGUAAGAAAAAAAAAUCUUAAAAAAUUUUCAGUAAGGCUUUUAUCAUUUGACUUUUGGUCACUACUUUACUGCUGUCCUUUAGCCCAGGUAUUUUAUUUCAAUAUAUUGCAUAAUUAUGCUUUUGUGAUGUGCUUGUUUAUCACUCUUAAAACUAAGUUCUGUACACAGUUAUUUUGAGGAACAGUCAAUUUCAUUGGCAUACUAUAGGAAAAAGCUGAAUUUUAAAAUUUGAAGAAAAAGUAUGGAAUAGAAACUUCUGACUCAUUUUUUUCACCUUUCUUCAGUAAAAACCUCUAAAUAUUUAUGGACUGAAAUGGGAAGGACAAGAUCCAACGCCUCAAACUUUAUUCUCUGAAAACUCUGGCCAUUCUACUUUCUCACUGAAAAGCUUUAUAAACAUCCCAAACUUGAAUCUUCCAGGGUAUGACCUUUUUUAAAUUUUUAGAUUUACCUUUUUGAAAACUGUUCAGUAUGAAGGACAUAGUACAGGCUCUAAAUGUAAGCUUUUGAGUCCUGAUAACCCAAAAAAGUGACUAUCAGGCCACUAAUACUAAUAAAUGAAUACUUACUUAGUUGUAUUUUAAGGUUGAUGCAUUUUCUUACAUAUAGGCUCUACAAGUAUGGAAACAUCCUUAAAGUGGAAACAUCAAAUGAAUGUUGGUAAUAUCUAGUGGUUCUCCUUCAACCUUAUUGAAAUAAUUUUUAUCACCUUUGAUAAAAUAGUGCACUAAUAUCAACUUUGCACUAAUUUGAUAAAUUAGUGUCACUAAUAUGCAACCAAUGUAAUCCUUGACAACACCAGAAAAAUAUUAUCAAAUAUAAUUUGGAUUAGUGUGAGAGAAUAUUUUUAUAGAAUGGAAAAACAGAUCUAUGAGUAUGCUUUUCAAAGCUCUGUGUAUACUCAAUGACAUAAGUGUAAAUUUUCUGUGUAAAAUUAUUUGAAUUUUUACUUAUAGGAAAAUCUGGUAUCUUUACACUGAGUUUUUGGGGUUUGGUUGCUUUUAUUUUUUUUCCUUCCUCUCUUUCUUUGCAUAUUUUUUACUAAGAAAUAAAAUUAUAAUAGUUAAUUAUUAGCAAUAUGCAUAUAAUUAAGAAACUCCCACAUUUAGUUGGAAUUUAAGGAGAUCAUUAGCAGUAAAGUCACAAUUUCUUGAAAGGACUAAAAAGUUUUGAUGUCAUACUUCAGCACUUUGUUGUAUUAAAUUUCAGUUCUCCAGACCAAAACAAGUUUUAGCUUUGAAAUUUAAAACAGUCCAUUAGAUUAGGAAAAAAAAAUCUUUGUAGUACUUUAUGGAGUUCUUACUUUUAUUUUUUCUUAUUCUUGAGGCCCAUGCAAGAAUGUUAAUGACCACAGGAGACCUGAAGAACUGGAAAAUCUCCUUCAAGAUCUCCAGUUAGCACCCUACAUUUUAAAGUUCUGUUAGUAGGCCAUCAUGGUUUCCUAAUGGCUAAUAAAUAUAUGAAAAAUG